CGCAUGGUGGCUUAGCGGUUAGCACAUUGGCCUCACACCUCCAGGGGCUGGGGUUCGAUUCCCACCGGGGCGG